GUCAGCGGUAGCCGAGUGGUUCAGACGGUAGAUUACUGAUCGGAAGGUCGUGAGUUCAAAUCCCAGCACUGCCA